rnacentral:lncRNA from 1 species
GGCUUUCAGGCUCCGCGCAGUCUGCGGGCGGGAGGGUGCCAGCGAGGUGGUGAGGGCGGUGGGUGCGGGGACGCAGCAGCCCUGGCCAAGCCCAGAGACCGGAGGACACCCCCCUCCCAGCGCUCUAACACGGGUAACUUCCCGCUGCCCGGAACGGAGUUUCUCCGUUACCCACGGACAUCCAGGAGGCCGUGUGGAGGGCAAGCAGGGUAACCCCCACUCCUAAACCACCUCUAUCCAAGGGGAGCCCGAGGAGCCAGCAGGUCCGGACACUCUGAGGAGGCUCCUCGUGGGGCCUCCCACGCACAGGUGCUGAGCUGGGCCAGCGGGUAUCUCCAGGCAGCCUCUGCUAAUGAGCUCUUAGCAGGACAGGGGAGGAGACAGAUUCCAGCUGCCCCCGCAUGCCAGAGCACCAACCGCUCUGUUCCUUACAAGCCUGCCAGGUCCCAGCUCUGCUUCCCUGACCCCAUCUGCAGUCGCAAGCAAGCCCCAGCCCUGGAGGGGCUGCACCCUGCAACCUUCCCACAGCUGUCUCCUUUGGAUCUUUUUGCGGUCUGGGCUUGCUGUUCUCUCGACAGUAGUCAGGAAGCCCUUACCCCAAAAAGUAUCUACGGGAGGCUUGGUCUACAGGGGAGACCCCCAAGGGCUCCAGGUGAGUCACACCAAACUCAAGACUACCAUGUGGAUCCAGGGCGUCUUUGCCAUACCUUAGUAUUGCUGGGUGACCAUGGAUCAAGCCCUAAGCCUUAAGUUGGCAAUCUUCCUAAUGCUGUGACCCUUUAAUACAGUUCCUGAUCUUGUGGUGAUCCCAGCCAUAAUAUUGUUUUGAUGCUACUUUGUAAUUGUAAUUUUCUACCAAUAUGAAUUAUAAUGUAAAUAUCUGAUAUCAGGAUAUAUAUGACCCCCAAGUGAGUCGUGGCCCACAGAUUGAGAACCACUGUCCUAAGACAUUCUGUGCCCCAGUGACCUCAUACCUUUCCUGAUAGACAAUGUUUAGUAGGAGUGGCUUUAGUCAAAGCCAGCGAAGGCCACUUGGGUAGAUGUUGCUGGCUAUCAUGGGCACACCUCUCAGGGCUGUCACUCAAUAUGCCUAGCCCUCCUUCCUGGCAUUGGGUAGACAUGAGAUCCAAGACAGGCCUGGCUAUUGGAAUCCUGGGCAGAGGGACCUGUGACUGGGAACACCACAGUUGAUCCCAGCAGCCGAGUGAAGAUGGUAAGCCUCUGCGGCAGGAUGAGGUGUCUGCCUGCCGUCCCUUAGCCUGAGUCAGUCACCAUGACCCCCUUUCUCCUGUGAGUCACUACUAGUCCUUCAAAUAAAAUCCUUGACUGCUCAAGUUAA